rnacentral:rRNA from 1 species
GCGAAAUGGGAAGAGCCUGCAUGUUUUAGCAUGACGCAUAACAGAAUCCUCUGGAAAUAGGAGCCAUAGACGGUGAUAGCCCGGUACGUGAAAUGCGAUGUGUGGAACUAAGCAUGCGACAAGUAGGGCGGGACACGUGACAUCCUGUCUGAAUAUGGGGGGACCAUCCUCCAAGGCUAAAUACUCGUAAUCGACCGAUAGUGAACCAGUACCGUGAGGGAAAGG